rnacentral:sRNA from 1 species
AACCUGCGGAAGGAUCAUUAAAGAAUCGCCCCGUUUUUUGAAAUGGGUUCUAUUCCCAAACCGUGUAUACAUACCUUUGUUGCUUUGGCAGGCCGCCUUUUAGGCGUCGGCUCCGGCUGACUGCGCCUGUCAGAGGACUCAAACUCGUUUGUUUAGUGAUGUCUGAGUACUAUAUAAUAGUUAAAACUUUCAACAACGGAUCUCUUGGUUCUGGCAUCGAUGAAGAACGCAGCGAAAUGCGAUAAGUAAUGUGAAUUGCAGAAUUCAGUGAAUCAUCGAAUCUUUGAACGCACAUUGCGCCCCUUGGUAUUCCGAGGGGCAUGCCUGUUCGAGCGUCAUUAUAACCACUCAAGCCUCGGCUUGGUUUUGGGGUUCGCGGUCUCGCGUCCCCUAAAAUCAGUGGCGGUGCCGUCUGGCUCUAAGCGUAGUAAUUCUCUCGCUAUAGGGUCCCGGCGGUUGCCUGCCAGAACCCCCCAUUUUUUACGGUUGACCUCGGAUCAGGUAGGGAUACCCGCUGAACUUAAGCAUAUCAAUAAGCGGAGGAAA